GCUAGAGCGUUAUCACAUCUGACGGCUGAAAAGACGGAUGACGCCUAUAUGGCGCCAAAUUUAUGUAUGGUGCGCAUAUAUAAGAAGUAAAUAAACAGUCCAAUUCCUCCACCUAAACAAGGCCGUAGAUUGUGAAAAAGAAAGAAAAAAAAAAAAAAAAAAGCAAGCUUCGUCGAGCGUUGGAGACGGCGAUGACGCUGAGCCUGAGGUGACUCGCGAUCGAGCUGGGCUCCUAAUCCGGAGUGCGUAGACGGAUUAGACACCCCAUCCGGCGGAGUCAUCAUUCGGGUUUUGGAGAUAAGAUGACAUGGAAAGGGUGAUCACCUCCGCAAACCGACGGCGCCGAACGUGCCCGUGCGUGCGUUGGAUGGUUGACAAAAGCUACGAGACGCGCGCAGGGCCGGCAUGGCGGAACGUGGUCAUGUGUUGGUUGGGCGCCUAAAGGAAAGGGUCCGGCCGGGACACCGACGAUUCUUCCAUGAUCUUCUUGAGCUUGGAGCCUGGUGGUGGUUAGCAGUGCUUUGACAGCGACGCAGCCGCAUCGGCACCGGUGGCGGUGUCCCCCGCCAGGAUUAGCCAUGCUUUUGGGCCGUUCUUCUGCCAAGAAUGGUCCCCAAUAUACCAAAGGUGCAAACCAUUGAAGAAUCAACUAUCGUGCGCGUGUCUCGAACUGAGAGCAUCUCUAACAGCUGCCUCAAAUUAAGCAUGGUAUCCUAAAAACGGUUUUAUAGGACAUGAGAGGAAAAAAGUCCUCUCCAACCUAAACGAUGCCCUAUUACAGUGUUGUCUUAAAUUUUCAUCUCGCUAUCCUAU
rnacentral:lncRNA from 1 species